rnacentral:rRNA from 1 species
CCCUUAGACGUUCUGGGCCGCACGCGCGCUACACUGACCAGUGCAACAAGCAUCCGUCCUUGGCCGACAGGCCCGGGCAAUCUUUGAACGCUGGUCGUGAUGGGGAUAGACUUUUGCAAUUUUUGGUCUUCAACGAGGAAUUCCUAGUAAACGCAAGUCAUCAACUUGCAUUGAUUACGUCCCUGCCCUUUGUACACACCGCCCGUCGCACCUACCGAUUGAAUGGUCCGGUGAGCCUCCGGAUUGGCGCGCACCUCGGUGCCGCCGAGAAGUUGGCUAAACCUUACCAUUUAGAGGAAGGUGAAGUCGUAACA